GAUGAACGCUAGCGGGAGGCCUAACACAUGCAAGCCGAGCGGUAUUGUUUCUUCGGUAAUGAGAGAGCGGCGUACGGGUGCGUAACACGUGUGCAACCUGCCUUUAUCUGGGGGAUAGCCUUUCGAAAGGAAGAUUAAUACUCCAUAAUAUAUUGAACGGCAUCGUUUAAUAUUGAAAGCUCCGGCGGAUAGAGAUGGGCACGCGCAAGAUUAGCUAGUUGGUGAGGUAACGGCUCACCAAGGCGAUGAUCUUUAGGGGGCCUGAGGGGGUGGUCCCCCACACUGGUACUGGGACACGGACCAGACUACUACGGGAGGCAGCAGUGAGGAAGAUUGGUCAAUGGGUGCAAGCCUGAACCAGCCAUCCCGCGUGAAGGACGACUGCCCUAUGGGUUGUAAACUUCUUUUGUAUAGGGAUAAACCUACCCUCGAGAGGGUAGCUGAAGGUACUAUACGAAUAAGCACCGGCUAACUCCGUG
rnacentral:rRNA from 1 species